rnacentral:rRNA from 1 species
AUUGAACGCUGGCGGCGUGCCUAACACAUGCAAGUCGAGCGGUAACAGGUGUAGCAAUACAUGCUGACGAGCGGCGGACGGGUGAGUAACGCUUGGGAAUCUGCCUGUUAGUGGGGGACAACCCGGGGAAACUCGGGCUAAUACCGCAUACGCACUACGGUGGAAAGCCGGGGACCGCAAGGCCUGGCGCUAACAGAUGAGCCCAAGUCGGAUUAGCUAGUUGGUAGGGUAACGGCCACCAAGGCGACGAUCCGUAACUGGUCUGAGAGGACGACCAGUCACACCGGAACUGAGACACGGUCCGGACUCCUACGGGAGGCAGCAGUGGGGAAUAUUGGACAAUGGGCGAAAGCCUGAUCCAGCGACGCCGCGUGGGUGAAGAAGGCCUGCGGGUUGUAAAGCCUUUCGUGGGGAAGAAAAGCCUCGAGUUAAUACCUCGGGUCUUGACGUAACCCAUAGAAGAAGCACCGGCUAACUCUGUGCCAGCAGCCGCCGUAAC